UCGAAACGACAGGGGAGCGCCACGGUAGGCGCUGAGAGUGCGAAAGAACGCAGACCCUCGAACCUGAUCCGGGUCAUGCCGGCGAAGGGAGUCGAGAUUUCUCUCCC
rnacentral:ncRNA from 1 species